rnacentral:rRNA from 1 species
UACGUAGGGGGCGAGCGUUGUCCGGAUUUAUUGGGCGUAAAGAGCGUGUAGGCGGCCAACUCAGUCGGACGUGAAAUCCCUCGGCUUAACCGGGGAAUGGCGUCCGAUACUGGAUGGCUUGAGUUUGGGAGAGGGAUGCGGAAUUCCAGGUGUAGCGGUGAAAUGCGUAGAUAUCUGGAGGAACACCGGUGGCGAAGGCGGCAUCCUGGACCAACACUGACGCUGAGGAGCGAAAGCCAGGGGAGCAAACGGG